AGGGUAUGAUACUGGCUCAGAACGAACGUUGGCGGCGUGCUUAACACAUGCCAGUCGAGCGAACACCCUUCGGGGUGUGAGCGGCGAAAGGGUGAGUAACGCGUGGGUAACCUACCUCCGGGAGCGGGAUAACGGCGUCCGCAAGGACUUUAGCGAAAGUGCCGCUAAUACCGCAUGAUGAUGUCGGAGAGCCGUUGCAAGGCGGCCCCCUCUGGCAUCCAAAUGGUCCGCCGCCCGGAGAGGGGCCCGCGUCCUAUCAGCUUGUUGGUAGGGUAAUGGCCUACCAAGGCGACGACGGGUAGCCGGCCUGAGAGGGUGACCGGCCACACGGGGACUGAGACACGGCCCCGAGCCCUACGGGGCGCAGCAGUGGGGAAUAUUAGGCAAUGGGCGCAAGCCUGACCUAGCGACGCCGCGUGGAGGAUGAAGGCCUUCGGGUUGUAAACUCCUGUCAGGGGUUAGGAAGUCCUUCGGGAUUGACGAAGGCCCCAAAGGAAGCCAUGGCUAACUCCGUGCCAGCAGCCGCGGUAAUACGGAGAUGGCAAACGUUGUUCGGAAUCACUGGGCGUAAAGCGCGCGUAGGCGGCUCGGUCAGUUGGGUGUGAAAUCCUUCGGCUUACCCGGAGAACUGCAUCCAAUACUUCCGGGCUAGAGGGCGGUAGGGGAGAGUGGAACUCCUGGUGGAGCGGUGAAAUGUGUAGAUAUCAGGAGGAACGCCGGUGGCGAAGGCGACUCUCUGGGCCGUCCCUGACGCUGAGUGUGCGAAAGCUAGGGUAGCGAACGGGAUUAGAUACCCCGGUAGUCCUAGCCGUAAACGAUGGGCACUUGGUAGUGGAGGCUUGCCUGCACUGCCGGAGCUAACGCGUUAAGUGCCCCGCCUGGGGAGUACGGCCGCAAGGUUAAAACUCAAAGUAAUUGACGGGCCCUUGCACAAGCGGUGGAGCAUGUGCCUUAUAUUCGAUUCAACGCGAAGAACCUUACCAAGGUUUGACAUGCUGGUGGUACGAACCCGAAAGGGUAAGGACCCAGGGUUAGCCUGGGAGCCAGCACAGGUGUUGCAUGGCUGUCGUCAGCUCGUGUCGUGAGAUGUUGGGUUAAGUCCCGUAACGAGCGAAACCCUUGUCCUUAGUUGCCAGCGGUUCGGCCGGGGACUCUAAGGAGACUGCCGUUGUCAAAACGGAGGAAGGUGGGGACGACGUCAAGUCAUCAUGGCCCUUAAGCCUUGGGCUGGACACGUGCUACAAUGGCCGGUACAAAGGGAAGCGAAAUCGCGAGAUGGAGCGAAGCCCAUAAAGCCGGUCCCAGUUGGGAUUGGAGGCUGCAACUCGCCUCCAUGAACCCGGAAUCGCUAGUAAUCGCGGAUCAGCUACGCCGCGGUGAAUAUGUUCCCGAGGGUUGUACACACCGCCCGUCAAGCCACGGAAGCUGGGAGUGCACGAAGUCGUUUGUCUAACCCGUUUCGGCGGGAGGACGGCGCCCACUGUAAACCCGGUGACUGGGACUAAGUCGAAACAAGGUA
rnacentral:rRNA from 1 species